rnacentral:rRNA from 1 species
GUCGAACGCUGGCGGCGUGCCUAAUACAUGCAAGUAGAACGCAGUUGCGAACGGGUGAUUAACGCGUAGGUUACUGCCUUAUAGCGGGGGAUAACUAUUGGAAACGUUAUCCAAUACCGCAUACUGUGAGCUGCUCCUGCGUUGUAUUAGCUAUUUGGUUAGGUAAAGGCUCACCAAGGCGAAGAUACAUAGCCGUCCUGAGAGGGUGUUCGGCCACACGGGGAAUGAGACACGGCCCAGACUCCUAAGGGUAGCAGCAGGAGGGAAUCUUCGGCAAUGGAGCGAAGUCUGACCGAGCAACGGCGCGGGAGUGAAGAAGGUGUUCGGGUCGUAAAGCUCUGUUGUUAUAGGAACGGUAACUAAACAGAAAGGGACGGCUAACUUCGUGCCAGCAGCCGCGGUAAUAC